rnacentral:rRNA from 1 species
CCUACGGGGGGCAGCAGUGGGGGAUAUUGGACAAUGGGCGGAAGCCUGAUCCAGCGACGCCGCGUGAGUGAAGAAGUAUUUCGGUAUGUAAAGCUCUGUCAGCAGGGAAGAAAGAAAUGACGGUACCUGACGAAGAAGCCCCGGCUAACUACGUGCCAGCAGCCGCGGUAUUACGUAGGGGGCAAGCGUUAUCCGGAAUUACUGGGUGUAAAGGGAGCGUAGACGGUUAAGUAAGUCUGGAGUGAAAGGCCGGGGCCCAACCCCGGGACUGCUCUGGAAACUAUUCAACUUGAGUGCAGGAGAGGUAAGCGGAAUUCCUAGUGUAGCGGUGAAAUGCGUAGAUAUUAGGAAGAACACCAGUGGCGAAGGCGGCUUACUGGACUGUAACUGACGUUGAGGUACGAAAGCGUGGGGAGCAAACAGGAUUAGAUACCCUAGUAGUC